ACGCCGGGGCGGUGAGGCGGAGCGGCGGCCGCCGCCCCCGGGGCCGCGGGCGGGAAACGGGGCGCGCGGAGGGGGUCGCGCCGCCGGGCGUGGGCGUGGAGGAGGGGCCGGAGGCGGCGCGGACAACGGGCGCCUUCCUCCUCCCGCAGCCGCCGCGGCGACACCGGGCCCGAGGGCGGUGGGAGUCGGGGCGGGGCGGGCCUCCCUCCGCUCCGCGCCCUCGGGGGACGCUUCCCUCCCCCGCCGCCAUUUGCUGGGCCUCGGCAGGGCGGGAGCCGGCGGCCCCAGGGAUCGCGAACCCCGGGAGACCGUGCCGCGAUGGCAAAUACAGCGGGAUGCCGCGGUAGCAGAGCACGCCAGUUAGAAACGCUCGCGAAUACCCACUGAACUUUAAGUCCCGGGCCUCGGUUGUUCGGCAACGGCUUAAUUAAAGACACGCUGUCAUCCCGAGAGCCGGUUUGUCUUUAUCGUUCCAGAUAACGAUAUCGUUCCAGCUCCAGAUGCGGCAGCUGCCCCCCGUUUCCCGUGUUUGUGCAGGCGGCGGGUGGCUGAUCUGUGCUGCACCAAAGCCUCAGCAACAGCAUGGCGAACAGCAAGCCCGAUGGAGGCAGGGAGAAAAACGUGACUGCACAAAGAGGCUGGGGGAGCGCGGAGUAAAAUCCCUCUCUCGGGAAAUGAGUCUGUGGGAGGAUGGAAGCCCUAGGACAGAGACUGAGGGAAGACUUUCAACACUCCUUGUACUGAGAAAAACCUUAUCUCUAACAUUAAGAAUUUGUCCUGCCUUUUUGACCAGGCAACCCUUAGGUCACUUAGAGAAAGAAAACCUGUAAUGAGCAGAGGAGAGACAAGCAAGAGGGAAAAUGCUUUGUUCACAGAUUUUUUCAUGACAGAAGCAGUUGAACCAGGUCUAAUAUCUCCUCUGAGAUCACAGGAAUAUGAUGCACAGAAGAAAGGUUGCUUGCUGCUUUUACUCUGAAUGAAAAAAAUCAUGAAUUGCAACAGCUUCUCAGACAGCAUACAGACGAGGUUGUCACCUCUGCAAUUUGAGGAACUCACUGUGUGAACAGCUCAUCUGAUAAUACUAGACAACAGGUAACCAAGGUUUUAUCUUAGUCACCAGAGAUCUUGACGUUUAUGAAAAACAGAACUGGGAUGAAAAUACUUUCCUCCUAUGGAAUUUUGUUUUUCUCUGACAAAAAUUACAUAAUCAUCUUAUAAAUAAAUGUGAAGGUUAAUAAAAGAUUUUAGGUUCAAUUAUUUUUUUUUUCCCCAUCAUAGGAGGACCAAACACCCAACAACCAUCAUAAGGUGUUUUCUUUGUAGAUGUCAGGCUUCUAAGUUGUCAAGAUAAUUACCUGAAAGGAGGUCGUAACAAGGUGGAGGUCAGCCUCUUUUUCCAGGUAACAGAAAUAGGAUGAGAAGUAACAGCCUUUAAAGUUGCACAAGGAGAGG